AUUGAACGCUGGCGGCAUGCUUUACACAUGCAAGUCGAACGGCAGCGCGGGCUUCGGCCUGGCGGCGAGUGGAGAACGGGUGAGUAAUGCAUCGGAACGUGCCCAGUCGUGGGGGAUAGCCCGGCGAAAGCCGGAUUAAUACCGCAAACGACCUGAGGGUGAAAGAGGGGGACCGAAAGGGUUCGAGAGCUUGGCGCGGCCGAUGCCGGAUUAGCUAGUUGGUGGGGUAAAGGGUUACCAAGGCGACGAUCCGUAGCUGGGCUGUGAGGACGACCAGCCACACUGGGACUGAGACACGGCCCAGACUCCUACGGGAGGCAGCAGUGGGGAAUUUUGGACAAUGGGGGCAACCCUGAUCCAGCCAUGCCGCGUGUGGGAAGAAGGCCUUCGGGUUGUAAACCGCUUUUGUUCGGGAAGAAAUGCUCUGGGCUAAUACCCCGGGGGGAUGACGGUACCGGAAGAAUAAGCACCGGCUAACUACGUG
rnacentral:rRNA from 1 species